rnacentral:rRNA from 1 species
ACUAAGUGCACACGGUGGAUGCCUUGGCAGUUAGAGGCGAUGAAGGACGUGUUAAUCUGCGAAAAGCUUUGGUGAGGUGAUAAAAACCGUUAUAGCCAAAGAUGUCCGAAUGGGGAAACCCACUUAGCAUAAGCUAGGUAUCAUUAACUGAAUACAUAGGUUAAUGAGGCAAACCGGGAGAACUGAAACAUCUAAGUACCCCGAGGAAAAGAAAUCAACCGAGAUUUCGUUAGUAGCGGCGAGCGAACGCGAAUCAGCCCUUAAGCUUAUUGGGCGCUAGUAGAAUCUACUGGAAAGUAGAACGAUACAGGGUGAUAGUCCCGUAUACUAAAGCAACCUUUAAGUGAAAUCGAGUAGGACGGAGCACGUGAAACUUUGUCUGAAUAUGGGGGGACCAUCCUCCAAGGCUAAAUACUCCUAACUGACCGAUAGUGAACCAGUACCGUGAGGGAAAGGCGAAAAGAACCCCUGUGAGGGGAGUGAAAUAGAACCUGAAACCGUAUACGUACAA